AGCAGCCGCGGUAAUUCCAGCUCCAAUAGCGUAUAUUAAAGUUGUUGCAGUUAAAAAGCUCGUAGUUGAAUUUCGGGGUUAGUAGAUUGGUCAUGCCACUGGUAUGUACUUGUCUUACUGAUUCCUCCUUCCUGAUGAACCGUAAUGCCAUUAACUUGGUGUUGCGGGGAGACUGGACUGUUACUUUGAAAAAAUUAGAGUGUUUAAAGCAGGCUAACGCUUGAAUACAUUAGCAUGGAAUAAUGAAAUAGGACGUUCGAUCCUAUUUUGUUGGUUUCUAGGAUUGACGUAAUGAUUAAUAGGGAUAGUUGGGGGCAUUAGUAUUCAAUUGUCAGAGGUGAAAUUCUUGGAUUUAUUGAAGACUAACUACUGCGAAAGCAUUUGCCAAGGAUGUUUUCAUUAAUCAAGAACGAAAGUUAGGGGAUCGAAGACGAUCAGAUACCGUCGUAG
rnacentral:rRNA from 1 species